GACCGAUGACAAACAGCCAAGUGUGAGCACCAGAAGGCUUUCUGCUUACUGCUUGAUGUCUAAAGUUCUGAGA